rnacentral:lncRNA from 1 species
UCUGUUAUAAAGGGAUUUCAUUUUUUAAAACUUAUUUGAACUCCUGACUAUUUGUGUGUUCAAAAUGCACCAUUCAAAGCCACAUCAUCAUUUUUCAAUCAUUUCUGACUUCAUUUGUUAUUUUUCAUGCAUUUACUAAUUAUUUUGAGCUAUAAGACCCUAAAAUUGAAAAGCAUUUCAAAUGAACUCUGAAAAGGUUGAAAGUUGGCAUGAUAUCAUCAUUUCAUCCACAUAGCAUGUGCAAGAAAGUUGAGAGGGUUACGGCAAAAACUGGAUGCACUUCGUGUACAAAACGGACAAUCUCUUUCAAAGUAUCAGGAUUUCAUCCGGAAACUCGUCUGUUACAAAGGGAUUUCAUUUUUUAAAACUUAUUUGAACUNNNNNNNNNNGUUACAAAGGGAUUUCAUUUUUUUUAACUUAUUUGAACUGCUGACAUUUUGUGUGUUCAAAAUGCACCAUUCAAAGACAUAUCAUCAUUUUUCAAUCCUUUCUGACUUCAUUUGUUAUUUUUCAUGCAUUUACUAAUUAUUUUAAGCUAUAAGACCCUAAAAUUGAAAAGCAUUUCAAAUGAACUCUUAAAAGGUUGAAAGUUGGCAUGGUAUCAUCAUUUCAUCCACAUAGCAUGUGCAAGAAAGUUGAGAGGGUUACGGCAAAAACUAGAUGCACUUCGUGUACAAAACGGACAAUCUCUUUCAAAGUAUCAGGAUUUCAUACGGAAACUCGUCUGUUACAAAGAAAUUUCAUUUUUUUUAAACUUAUUUGAACUCCUGACUUUUUGUGUGUUCAAAAUGCACCGUUCAAAGCCACAUCAUCAUUUUUCAAUCCUUUCUGACUACAUUUGUUAUUUUUCAAGCAUUUACUAAUUAUUUUGAUCUAUAAGACCCUAAAAUUGAAAAGCAUUUCAAAUGAACUCUGAAAAGGUUGAACGUUGGCAUGGUAUCAUCAUUUCAUCCACAUAGCAUGUGCAAGAAAGUUGAGAGGGUUACGGCAAAAACUGGAUGCACUUCGUGUACAAAACGGAC